UGCAAGUCGAACGGUAACAGCAAGAGCUUGCUCUUGGCUGACGAGUGGCGGACGGGUGAGUAACGCGUAGGAAUCUGCCCAGUAGCGGGGGAUAGCCCGGAGAAAUCCGGAUUAAUACCGCAUACGCCCUACGGGGGAAAGCAGGGGCUCUUGCUCUUUUCGGAUAGUCGGACCUCUCACUAUUGGAUGAGCCUGCGUUAGAUUAGCUAGUUGGUGAGGUAAAGGCUCACCAAGGCGACGAUCUAUAGCUGUUCUGAGGGGAAGAUCAGCCACACUGGGACUGAGACACGGCCCAGACUCCUACGGGAGGCAGCAGUAGGGAAUAUUGCACAAUGGGCGCAAGCCUGAUGCAGCCAUGCCGCGUGUGUGAAGAAGGCCUUAGGGUUGUAAAGCACUUUCAGUAGGGAGGAAUAGAUAGUCGUUAAUAUCGGCUAGCUGUGACGUUACCCACAGAAGAAGGACCGGCUAACUCCGUGCCAGCAGCCGCGGUAAUACGGAGGGUCCAAGCGUUAAUCGGAAUUACUGGGCGUAAAGCGUGCGUAGGCGGUUUGUUAAGUGGGAUGUGAAAGCCCCGGGCUCAACCUGGGAACUGCAUCCCAAACUGGCAAACUAGAGUGCGGAAGAGGAGUGUGGAAUUUCCUGUGUAGCGGUGAAAUGCGUAGAUAUAGGAAGGAACACCAGUGGCGAAGGCGACACUCUGGUCUGACACUGACGCUGAGGUACGAAAGCGUGGGGAGCAAACAGGAUUAGAUCCCCUGGUAGUCCACGCCGUAAACGAUGUCAACUAGCCGUUGGGUCCCUUGAGGACUUAGUGGCGCAGCUAACGCAAUAAGUUGACCGCCUGGGGAGUACGGUCGCAAGAUUAAAACUCAAAUGAAUUGACGGGGGCCCGCACAAGCGGUGGAGCAUGUGGUUUAAUUCGAUGCAACGCGAAGAACCUUACCUGGUCUUGACAUCCUGCGAACUUUCUAGAGAUAGAUUGGUGCCUUCGGGAACGCAGUGACAGGUGCUGCAUGGCUUUCGUCAGCUCGUGUCUUGAGAUGUUGGGUUAAGUCCCGUAACGAGCGCAACCCUUGUCCUUAGUUGCCAGCACGUAAAGGUGGGAACUCUAAGGAGACUGCUGGUGAUAAACCGGAGGAAGGUGGGGACGACGUCAAGUCAUCAUGGCCCUUACGACCAGGGCUACACACGUGCUACAAUGGUCGGUACAGACGGAAGCAAAGCAGCGAUGUGGAGCGGACCUGAGAAAGCGCCUCGUAGUCCGGAUUGGAGUCUGCAACUCGACUCCAUGAAGUCGGAAUCGCUAGUAAUCGCGAAUCAGAAUGUCGCGGUGAAUACGUUCCCGGGCCUUGUACACACCGCCCGUCACACCAUGGGAGUGGAUUGCACCAGAAGUAGUUAGUCUAACCUUCGGGAGGACGAUUACCACGGUGUGGUUCAUGACUGGGGUGAAGUCGUAACAAG
rnacentral:rRNA from 1 species